AAUAUGUCAAGAAAGAUAAAGAAAAACUUCUAGUUCUGGAAAUCAGUGAUUAUAACAUUAUUAUAAUAUCAAAUUACUUGAUUCAAAUUGACGAGGAAAAAGAACUCAAAAAAGAAUAAGAAAAGAAAGAGGGUGCAAGAAAAAACAAGAUAAUGGUAAUAAAAAAAAAAAGAAUACAAAGCAUGCGGAGAGAUUGUUCAUUAUUCACGAGUCUAGGCCCUCCUCCUCAUGAUCAACAAGAAAGCUCGCAUGUGAAAGCUCCUUUAUCCACUCAAACGUUCGACGACUUGACAUUGCUUGCUUUCCCUGCUGUUUUAGCUUCUGCUGCUGCUGCUUUUCCACCACUUUGUUCUUAUACUUUAUCUUUAAUUCUUGUGGCAUAUCCUCUGCUGAGUCUUUUUCUUUGCUUUUGUCGUUA
rnacentral:misc_RNA from 1 species